UUCUGACCUCGAAUCAGGA
rnacentral:rRNA from 1 species